rnacentral:rRNA from 1 species
CGGCAGGCCUAACACAUAGCAAGUCGAACGGUAACAGGAAGAAGCUUGCUCUUGCUGACGAGUGGCGGACAGGUGAGUAAUGUCUGGGAAACUGCCUGAUGGAGGGGGAUAACUACUGGAAACGGUAGCUAAUACCGCAUAACGUCGCAAGACCAAAGAGGGGGACCUUCGGGCCUCUUGCCAUCGGAUGUGCCCAGAUGGGAUUAGCUAGUAGGUGGGGUAACGGCUCACCUAGGCGACGAUCCCUAGCUGGUCUGAGAGGAUGACCAGCCACACUGGAACUGAGACACGGUCCAGACUCCUACGGGAGGCAGCAGUGGGGAAUAUUGCACAAUGGGCGCAAGCCUGAUGCAGCCAUGCCCGCGUGUAUGAAGAAGGCCUUCGGGUUGUAAAGUACUUUCAGCGGGGAGGAAGGGAGUAAAGUUAAUACCUUUGCUCAUUGACGUUACCCGCAGAAAAAGCACCGGCUAACUCCGUGCCAGCCGCCGC